UGAUAAUAAUAUACCUAAUCCUUCGUACACGACCUAAAAACACUUUCAUUUAUGAAUAAAGAUUAAAAAAAUGUCGCAUUUUUAUAUAGUAACACCACUGACCCUUUAGUAACUCCAAUGACAUAAAAGUAUCACCAAUGACAUCACAUUUCAAAUUUUACCUUUAUCAAGUACUGAACACAAAGCCAAGAUCACCGAGCAAAAGAAAAAGAUGAAAAUAUAAUUCUUAGGCUAAAAAAUCUCAAAUUAU
rnacentral:lncRNA from 1 species